UUCUUCCCCUAAGUUCUUCUGGCGUAUGGAUGUCCUAAUUUUACCACUUCCAAGAGCAAAACUUCUCCCCCGGACUGGUGAUUGAUACACUUUAACCAUCUUAUCCCUUUGUCCCCAGCAUCUGUACAAAGCUGCCUUUGUUAGUACUCAAGAGCGCCUGUUCCUGUGGGCAACCUGAACCGUUCUUCUAGACUUCUCAGGAAAAACAAGACUUACUGCCUUAACUAUUGUUCACCGUUGCGGCUGCUGUUUUGAGACAGGGUUUGGGGUGUAUCAGGUUGGCCUGGAACCACUAUGUAGUUGACAUGACCUUGAAAUCCUGAUCUUCCUGCUUCCAAAGCCUGGGCCUGCUGGAGAGCUCGCCAUCCCCAGCACCUUCCCAUCCUCCCUACCACUGUUUUAUGAUGUGAUGGUAAACUCGGCAACCUUAUGCCUCAGCCUCCAGAGCAGCUGGAACUACAGGCAUCCCCACCGUACUCUGCUUGAUCUCAACUUCUGCUGCUGCUGAAGAGCUGUUCCUGCAAGCUGGGCAAACAUGCUGUCACGGGAGCCCUUAAACAAAGAAGGGAAGAAGCCCAGGACCAAAGCACCGAAGAUUCAGAGUCCUGUUACUUCUGGUAUCCUGCACCACAAACGCUGACAUUGCUCUGAAGAAACAGCACACUAAGAAAAACAAGGAGGCUGCAGGAUAUGCUAAACUCAUGAUGGCCAAGAUAAUGAAGGACAGCCAGGCAGUGGUGGUGCACGCCUUUAAUCCCAGCACUUGGGAGGCAGAGGCAGGUGGAUCUCUCUGAGUUCGAGGCCAGCCUGGUCUACAUAGGGAGUUCCAGGACAGCCAGGGCAACAAAGAGAAACCCUGUAUUGGAAAAAGAAAAAGAGAGAGAGACAGAGAGACAGAGAGACAGAGAGAGACAGAGGAGGGGGGAAUAUGAAUUAAGAUAAACACCAGGAACAGAUUGCUAAGAGAUGUAGGCUAUCCUCACUGGGAGCUUCCACUUCUAACUCUGAGUUCAGUCAAAAGUAAGUCCUUGAGAAUACAUAUUAAAAAGAGUGGCAAAUAACGACCAGAACUUGGGAAAAAAGAGUGAGAACUAAAUUAAGUAAAGAAGGUUUUCCCACUUUUCCUACUCAGAUAUCUUUUUGGAGCAAAAUCUCUGUCCUUACUAUAGCCUUACCUUCCAAUUACUUCUUGUUCCUGCUUUCCUCUUCAUCAUCUGAACCACACUUUCUGAAAUAUAUCAAGUUUUGUCCAAAA